AUCUACAGUUGGCCAACAUUAAGUUAGAUCAAAUUUAGAAACAAGUCAGUCCUGGUUAGUACUUGGAUGGGAGACCGCCUGGGAAUACUGGGUGCUGUAGGUG
rnacentral:rRNA from 1 species